GUGGAAGUCUGGGACUGUCAGCAUGGGAGCCUGUACCAUGACUAGUGUGGAACUGGAACUAACUCUCCAGAGCAUCCAGCCAGGCAAUAGCAGGAUGAACUCGAGCGGAUGGUCAAAAGUCAACACCAGGAAUGGAGGGAAUGUGGGAGGCUGCUCAGAUGCCUUUUAAUUUCUGGUUCUAAAAUGGAUCUGAAGGGCCAGCAAGCUUCCUCAGGGGCGGAAUCUCUCUGGAAACCCGACCACAUCAACCAUGCUGUGAAGCAAGAGGCAACCCAGGACCUCAGGCUUUUCCUUCUCCUGAGCAACUUAUGUUCUGGCCAACUCAGACACUGCGCAUGGACGCUGCCAGGGCUCAGGCCUCACUACUCAUCAGGACUGUUUACCAUUUGUCAACGGUAGAGGCUGGAGGGGGCCUGCUAACUGGCAGUGCCAGCAAGGUCUCUCUCUUUCUUGGCCUAUGUAAAGUCAUUUCUUUUGUGUGUGGUGAUUUAUUCAUUGCAAUGUGGGUGAAGACAUUUGACAAUGUGACAGAGGGAAUUAACGUGCUAAUUGGAAGUAUGCACUAUCCUAAGAUGUUCCUAUGGGGACCUUGAACCUUUAGUCUCAAGGGUUCCUUGUGGGUCCCGUAGUUUUCUAUUGGCACACGUUUUGUGGAGAAGGUGGCAUCACACAACCUGAAGUUCGCUCACCUUAGGUCAAAUUCCACAUUUGUUUGGGAAGAGACCCUAAAGUUUCUAUCUUUUACUCAAUAUGUUGUCAUUCAUAAACUUUUGACAUGUCACUGUCAUUGGUUGACUUACUUUUAAUCCUUGGAAAAUGAGAGUCAUUUUUCUUUUCCACCCAAUGCAAAAUUGAGGCCUGAGAUCCAUGGAAAAAAUUUACCCCAACCCAUGUAAGGAUGGCUUAUUUCUUAGUUAAAAGCCCGUGUGAAACUUGAGGUAACUGUGAUGCUUCCUCCCUGUUACACUUGAACAUGUUGUGCCCUCUGCCUCUGCAAUGUCACCGCCAUCUUUGGUCUUCUUGUUUUCUGUGAGUGGAGAAGACUUCGGGGAAGACUGAAAUGCAUGCCUUGGUGCAUAGGUACACGAAGUAAUAGCAUGGAAGGAGCAUACUCAAGGUAGAGGAUGCCAAAAGGGCGUCUCCCUAAUUACUGGCAGUCCCACUGUUCCAAGCCUUCGAUGAAAGAUAAGGUGGACCUCCAUAGAAUUUAAGUUGAGACUUGGUUCCUUGGACCUUUCCCAGGAGUUCAUUGCUAGGCCAGCCUUGUCACUUAGGCUUUUCUGGUAUGUAGUCAUUGAGUUUCUACUCACUAGUCAUAAUGGUAAUGUGCUGUAAAUUCUUGGUGUGCAGUCUUUCACAUCACACUUCAAUUUGCCUUAAAGUGCUUUCUCAUGCCUGUUUCUUAUAUGAGUGCUAGGAAGAGAGUGGAUUAUAUUGGCCACUACAAGGCAAGGCCUUUGACUAAAACUCUGUAGAUUAUUUAAGUAGAGGGAGAUAGUUGAUUUUGCUACUAUUUGAUGAAAUGGUACAACAUACAUAAGGGCUGAUGUGCUCACUUUUCAUCUGGUUGUGAAAUCACUUUUGAGAUUAUACAGUUGCUAUGUGGUCAUGUACAUAGAUCAGAGAUUUCGGGAGAAUAUAGUGAAAUUGAAUCCACUGAAAUCCCUAUUUGUUGACUGGUUUCGCACCGAGAAAUUUGAAAAAGCCUUUGAUACUGUUUGUUACCUUACAGGUACAAUGUUAGCCCUGAGAAUUGAAGGCCUGGAUCUCCCACCGUAAAUACCAACUCUUGUUUUCCUGGUGCCUAAGGGACUAUGCUUGAACAUAAGGCAGAGACACAGGUAUAGACAUUAGGCAUCUAGAACAAUGCAACUGAUUGUAUUUCCUGUAGGACUGGUUCCCUGUUUGGCAUGUCCAGUCAUGUAACUGGGACAGCACUGGUCGUUUUGACAAGCACCGUGGGCUACUGGAAAUGAUGGUGAUGGUUGUGACAAUGAUGUUGAUGGUAGUGGUUAUGAAUCCAAAAGAAAUAAGGAGGGCUAUCACUGAUGGAAAGGUCACUGGAACCAAGCACUGUGCUCAGUUCAUAGGGUUCUCUCCUCAUCCUCUAAAAACCAUGAGUUAAAUGUACUUUUAUUCCCAUUUUACAGAGUACAUUAAUGAUUACAGAAUCUUGACAUGGUAACAAAGGCAGGAUCCUUUAGGAGGGGGAAUAAGAUCCAGCUUCAGAUGGUUUUGAAUCCCAUGGUGUUAAUCACAAGCUCUGAGAAAGUUUAAGAAUGUUUUUGGUGCUUAAAAAAGUAAAAAUUACCCCAAUCUAUGUCUCCUGUCCAUUCUGGUCCUUGUGGAUAUCCAGAGGUCACACUGGGUUUUUUUGUAGCAGUAGAAAUAUGUGCUGAUGAGAAUGGUCCUCAAAAGCCAGGCUAAUAAACCUUGAACUAAUAGAUUUCAUGGCGGGAUCCCCAGCCACUUUGAUGAUCUGUUCUUUGAUGGGAAGAAUUACAGGGGUUCGAGGGUGAGACAAGGGUAGAGACUUCUGUGAUCAGGAAAGAUGGAACGACACAUUGCAUAUGGUUGCUCCAUCGGGGGCCUAUUGACUCUAGGUGGGAAAGGGCUGGGAACAGUGUCACUGGGUAGAGCUGCUGGGAGAGGUGGAGGCUCAGGGACUCUGGCGGGGACGUUCUUAGAGGCUUUGUCUGUUCAAGGGAGUGUCUCCAGCCCCUUCCCCAAGCCUGGCACUGCACCAGAGGGUAUUGUUGAGAGUCACUUGGGAAAGUAUGGCUCUUAGGCAAAGAUGAGACUUUAGUAAGGGGGCAGAACAUGGCUGUCCAUUAUUAAUGAGAAUUGUGAACUUCCCUCUUAGUGAGUGCUUAGCAAUUCUGGCUGAAUAGGUGCACUUCCUUAGCCUAUGGCAAAUGGCUUGGAGGAACGUGUUAUUAUAUGGUAUCAUCAUAGAUUAAUCUGUGGGAGUCUUCUGAGAGGCACUUGUGGUUGUUUCUGGGGGACAUUUCUCCCUUGGAUGGCCUAACCACUGAGUCUUUCAUGCUGAUAGUGAGCUGUGUUCACCAUUAGAGACCGAUGAAAGUCGACCUUGCCACUGAGUCUUUCUUUCUAAUACUGGGCUGUGUUCACUAGCAGACACUUAUGAAAGUGAACUGCUGUUCCUGGUAGUUCCUCAGAAUUUACUUGACCUCUCCUUCCUCCUUCCGUCUUGAGUGGCUCCAAAGCCUUGUAUAAAUUUUUACAGGAACGAGACAGCUUCACCAGCAGUAUCUGUAGCAAGUAGAAUUUUGAAUCCAGUAGAGACACAGGUGAUUGCCAGUGGUCAGGCUGUGUCCUCCUACACUAAUGUGCUGAGCACAGGGGGUUGCACUAUGGAUAGCAAGAGUGGCCCAAGGGUCGUGAGCACUCCUGUUUCAGAGAGGGGGAAUGAUUGGCAUCUUGGCCAAGCAUUUCUCUAUUAGCUUCCUACACUUUUCCGUUGAUCAUACUCUGCACGUUGGUGGGAAAGAAAAUUCACAUGGGUUCCGCCACUGAACAGUAUAUGAAGAUGGUGAUGUUGGGAUCCUCUUGCAUUUCUCCCCUUGAGCCUGGUGUCCAGGAACCUUCCGAUUUAUGUUAGGUGUUCAGAAUGGCAGCUUAACCUGUCUUAUUGGUCAUGCUGAAAGGGCACAUCCCUCUCAGCUAAAGUUGCAAUGUUUCCAAGUCUUCUGCUGUAAACUGUCACCACUUUGUGGUCUAACCCAUCAGUCACUUUGCUCUUCUCAGAGGGGUGUUUACAUAGGCACGAGAGGUUGCCUGAACCCUCAAGACUGUCCUAGACAGCUCAGUGAGGGAUAAAUGCAUCUUGUGUAGUGCUGCAGCCACUGAAACUAUUACAGGACAGGAGGGAGGGAUAUGCUCCGUGGUCUCCCUAUUUCAGGAUAUUCCAGGGUCCUAGAAGGAAUGUCAGGAGUCUCCUUGGCAUGAGGAGAAUAUAGAGAGAUUGGAGGACAUGGGAGUUGGGGGAGAAUAUCGUGAUGGGCCAUAGCGAUCAAGGAGGCACCUACCUCCUGUGCCCCUUCCCCUACCUUGCGGUUCGUGUGGUUCGGCAUAGCUGGGGAACCAAACACAACAAUGUACCUUCAUGGAGGUGAUAGGGGAAAAUAUUUGCCUUGGGAAGUUGAUAGUUUUAUGAUGGGGGCAGGUCCUUAUUUUCCCUUUCCCAGUCAUUGGGUGUUUGGGUGUUGUUGACAUCUUGGCUGUGUCACCUCCUCUGUGCACUGCCCUACAUGCGUGAAAAAUGGCCACAGACGUAGGAGGGGCUUCACUCUCUUAUAUUGUUGCAUAGUGCAACAGUGGGAGGGAAUUAUGGGCAGGAUGUGCUGUUGCUUUUGUUGGUACUUCUGUAUCUUUCCUGGCGCACUGUAUUCUCUCAUCGCCUUUGUAUUCCAGGGUUUUCUCCUGUAACUAUAGGGAGCCUUCUGUGCUGCCUGUGCUGUGCAUUUGCCUAUUUUCCAAAGUGGCCAUGAUGAGUUUCUGGGUUCAGCUACUAAGGUGUCUCCCGUGUACCUAGCACUAAUGCAGUCCAAAUGUGUUACUGUCAGGUCCUUGUCCAUUCCUGAUUGUAAAAAUGGCAGAGGCAUACGUAGUUUUAUUUAAAUUUAUUUUUAUUUACUUCAUCAUAUUAUGGAGGUACAAAUAUUGUUAGGGUUAC